rnacentral:rRNA from 1 species
AUUGAACGCUGGCGGCAGGCCUAACACAUGCAAGUCGAGCGAGCGGCGGACGGGUGAGUGAUGUAUGAGGAUCUGCCCGAUAGAGGGGGCUAAAUACGGGAAACGGUGGCUAAUACCGCUUACGAUCCGAUGUGCCCUGGUUGGAUGAGCUAGUAGGGGGGGUAAAGGCUCACCGAGGCGACGAUCCCUAGCUGGUCUGAGAGGAUGACCAGCCACACUGGAACUGAGACACGGCCCAGACUCCUACGGGAGGCAGCAGUGGGGAAUCUUGCACAAUGGGCGAAAGCCUGACGCAGCCACGUCGCGUGAGUGAAGAAGGCCUUCGGGUUGUAAAGCACUUUCGGCGAGGAAGCGUUACUCACAGAGGAAGCACCGGCUAACUCCGUGCCAGCCGCCGCGGUAAUUC